rnacentral:sRNA from 1 species
CAUAAUGCAUUAGCGUUAUGGCCAUGGUGUUGUCAUGAGUUUUGUAUGGGAGAAAAAAAAUCAAUUUAUCACCCAUUUAUUAUUAUUAUUUUUUAACCUUCUUCACGCAAGCUUAUUUUCUACUAAAACAGUUUUGGAAUUAUUAAAAGCAUUGCUGAUACUUACUUCAGAUAUUAUGUCUAGGCUCUAAGAAUGGUUUUGACAUCCUAAACAGGCAUAUGAUUUUUAGGAAUCUGAACAGUUCAAAUUGUACCCUUUAAGGAUGUUUUCAAAAUGCAAAAAAAAAAAAAAAAAAAACCCCUAAAAGAAUAUUCCUGUUUAUUCUUCUAGGGAAGCAAACUGUUCAUAAUACUUAGGAAGUCUUUUCAGAGAAUUUAAAACAGAUUGCAUAUUACCAUCAUUGCUUUAACAUUCCAUCAAUUUUACUACUGGUAACCUGAUAUACACUGCUUUAUUUUUUCCUCUUUUUUUGCCUCUAUUUUCCUUUUGCCCCCCUCUUUGCUUUGUAACUCAAUAGAGGUGCCCCAACUCACUGACCUAAGCUUUGUUGAUAUAACCGAUUCAAGCAUCGGCCUGAGGUGGACCCCGCUAAACUCUUCCACCAUUAUUGGGUACCGCAUCACAGUAGUUGCGGCAGGAGAAGGUAUCCCUAUUUUUGAAGAUUUUGUGGACUCCUCAGUAGGAUACUACACAGUCACAGGGCUGGAGCCGGGCAUUGACUAUGAUAUCAGCGUUAUCACUCUCAUUAAUGGCGGCGAGAGUGCCCCUACUACACUGACACAACAAACGGGUGAAUUUUGAAAACUUCUGUGUUUGAGACAUAGAUGGUGUUGCAUGCUGCCACCAGUUACUCUGGUUAAAUAUGGAUGUUUCAAAGGGGAAGUCAGCAAUUGGCCAAAGAUUAAGACAGGGUGGAUUGGGGGGAUAAGGAAUCAAAUGCAUCUGCUAAACUGAUUGGAGAAAAACAUAUGCAAGUAUUCUUCAGUACACUCUCAUUUAAACCACAAGUAUACAUAAAGCUAGAGAAAUACAGAUGUCUUCUCUGUUAAAUAUAAAAUAGCAAAUGUUCAUUCAAUUUGGAGACCUAGAAUUUUUCUUCUUAAAUACCAAACAUGAAUACCAAAUUGUAUAAGUGCCAGUUAAUUAUAAGAAAUAUAUCCCCAAAAUGUACCAUCAUGCUCUUCCUUCUACCGUUUGAUAAACUCUACCAUGCUCCUUCUUUGUAGCUAAAAACCCAUCAAAAUUUAGAGUAGAGUGGAUGGGCAUUGUUUUGAGGUAGGAGAAAAGUAAACGUGGGAGCAUUCUAGGUUUUGUUGUUGUCACUAGGUAAAGAAACACCUCUUUAACCACAGUCUGGGGACAAGCAUGCAACAUUUUAAAGGUUCUCUGCUGUGCAUGGGAAAAGAAACAUGCUGAGAACCAAUUUGCAUGAACAUUUUCACUUGUAAGUAGAAUUCACUGAAUGGAACUGUAGCUCUGGAUAUCUCACAUGGGGGGAUGUUUAGGACCCUCUUGUCUUUUUGUCUGUGUGCAUGUAUUUCUUUGUAAAGUACUGCUAUGUUUCUCUUUGCUGUGUGGCAACUUAAGCCUCUUCGGCCUGGGAUAAAAUAAUCUGCAGUGGUAUUAAUAAUGUACAUAAAGUCAACAUAUUUGAAAGUAGAUUAAAAAUUUUUUUAAAUAUAUCGAUGAUGGCAAAAAGGUUAAAGGGGGCCUAACAGUACUGUGUGUAGUGUUUUAUUUUUAACAGUAGUACACUAUAACUUAAAAUAGAUUUAGAUUAGACUGUUUGCAUGAUUAUGAUUCUGUUUCCUUUAUGCAUGAAAUAUUGGUUUUACCUUUCCAGCUACUUCGUUAGCUUUAAUUUUAAAAUUACAUUAACUGAGUCUUCCCUCUUGUUCGAAACCAGCUGUUCCUCCUCCCACUGACCUGCGAUUCACCAACAUUGGUCCAGACACCAUGCGUGUCACCUGGGCUCCACCCCCAUCCAUUGAUUUGACCAACUUCCUGGUGCGUUACUCACCUGUGAAAAAUGAGGAAGAUGUUGCAGAGUUGUCAAUUUCUCCUUCAGACAAUGCAGUGGUCUUAACAAAUCUCCUGCCUGGUACAGAAUAUGUAGUGAGUGUCUCCAGUGUCUAUGAACAACACGAGAGCACACCUCUUAGAGGAAGACAGAAAACAGGUCUUGAUUCCCCAACUGGUAUUGACUUUUCUGAUAUUACCGCCAACUCUUUUACUGUGCACUGGAUUGCUCCUCGAGCCACCAUCACUGGUUACAGGAUCCGCCAUCAUCCCGAGCACCUUAGUGGGAGACCUCGAGAAGAUCGGGUGCCCCCCUCUCGGAAUUCCAUCACCCUCACCAACCUCACUCCGGGCACAGAGUAUGUGGUCAGCAUCGUUGCUCUUAAUGGCAGAGAGGAAAGUCCCUUAUUGAUUGGCCAACAAUCAACAGUUUCUGAUGUUCCAAGGGACCUGGAAGUUGUUGCUGCGACCCCCACCAGCCUACUGAUCAGCUGGGAUGCUCCUGCUGUCACAGUGAGAUAUUACAGGAUCACUUAUGGAGAAACAGGUACAGCAGUAAAAUGCUAUUUUACACUCUGAUUAAAUCAGAUUCUGUUGUGGAUAACCUGAAAGCCCAACAGUGAACAAAGAAUUAAAGAAACUUUGGCAAGUCCAUUCAACGGAGCCCUUGUUUUUUCCAAGAAAAUAUGUAAGAUAUAGAUGAUAUAAUUUGUUCUAAAACCCAAAUAAAAAGUUGUUUAUAUACUACAACUAGAGGGGGAACGGCAGAGCUGAGGAAAUAAAAGCAUUGUAAAUUCACAAACAUAUUAUCAGUGGUGGAAAUAAGUGAUUUUUAUUUUUUCUUCUCUUUACUUUUCUGUAUUUUCCAAAUUUUAUUUAACAGGAAUGUAUUCUGUAAAAUUUUUAAAAAGGACACAAUGUGUGCAAUCCUGGGUUGAGGGCUUACCUUCUCCCACUUUUAAUGCUACUCUACGACACAGUGACAUUUUAAAGCUGAAAUGUUAAAAUAGCGCUAACUGUAAUUUUCUCUCAAUGUUUAUACACUUACCAAAGUUUGCUACAUGCAUAAAUACCCCUUUCUGUUCAAGAUAGUGCUCUUUAAAAGGGAAUAAGCAAGAAGAUGUGAUUUACAUGCUGCUAUAAAUGUGGUAAUUCAAUUAAUCAGUAAUACCCAAGUAGCUCUAAGCCCCUCACGCUCUGAACUAACCCUUUUUCAUACAGGAGGAAAUAGCCCUGUCCAGGAGUUCACUGUGCCUGGGAGCAAGUCUACAGCUACCAUCAGUGGCCUUAAACCUGGAGUUGAUUAUACCAUCACUGUGUAUGCUGUCACUGGCCGUGGAGACAGCCCCGCGAGCAGCAAGCCAAUUUCCAUUAAUUACCGAACAGAAAUUGACAAACCAUCCCAGAUGCAAGUGACCGAUGUUCAGGACAACAGCAUUAGUGUCAAGUGGCUGCCUUCAAGUUCCCCUGUUACUGGUUACAGAGUAACCACCACUCCCAAAAAUGGACCAGGACCAACAAAAACUAAAACUGCAGGUCCAGAUCAAACAGAAAUGACUAUUGAAGGCUUGCAGCCCACAGUGGAGUAUGUGGUUAGUGUCUAUGCUCAGAAUCCAAGCGGAGAGAGUCAGCCUCUGGUUCAGACUGCAGUAACCAGUACGUAACCACUGCUUGGUUUCCAUUUUCAAAGUCCAAUUUUGUUCUUGGGUGUCUGAAUGCCCACCACAUGUCUUUUGCAAUUACACAUAGGGAAAGUGAACUUGUUGGUUAGUUUAUGUCUUGAGCUGAGCCCUUUACGAACAUCUUUUUUCCUUCUCAGUGCCAAGCAAGGAAUUUACAGAGAAAGAAGUUGUGAAACUACCAUAGUUAGUUGCUGUGCUUUGAAUUUCUUUUGCUCAAAUGGCCUCAGCGAAAUCUUAUUUACCUAUAGCAAAUCUACAGAAAAUUUUCCUAGACCGUCUUUUCUACAACUGGAUGGUAAAGUUGAUUGAAGUGAGCCUCAUGUAGCUGUUAUGUUUGGGGCAUUUGAAGGGCUAUGGCUGGACCAGAGUGUAAUAUAAAUGCUUAAUAGAGAUGGGAAAAGAAGAGUGUAAGAACAAUUAUAGGGCUGGGCUCAUGCCUGUAAUCCCAGCAUUUUGGGAGGCUGAGGCAGGCGGAUCACGAGGUCAGGAGUUCGAGACCAGCCUGACCAACAUGGUGAAACCCCAUCUCUACUAAAAAUAUAAAAAUUAGCCAGUCGCGGUGGCACGUGCCUGUAAUCCCAGCUACUCAGGAGGCUGAGGCAGAAGAAUCACUUGGACCCGGGAGGCAGAAGUUGCAGUGAGCCGAGAUCACGCCACUGCACCCCAGCCUAGGUGACAGAGUGAGACUCUACCUCAAAAAAAAAAAAAAAAAAAAAAAACCAAUUAUAACAAUUUGAAUCUGACAUUGCAAAUCAACUUUACCACUCCCAAGGUAUAGAAAAUCCAGGUCUAUGAGACUAACAUCACAUUGUAAAAAUCAAAUCGUGGUAGAUUAUUUUAAAAUUAAUAUAAAUACCUCCCCAUUGUGGGGCAUUUUGCAGGGUAUCUUCUUAUCUCACAUACACCUAUGUUUUAAUAAGUGAUGCAACAUUGCAUAUUUUCUAAACCAAGAAAAAUUAAGCAAGUGUUUAAGUGAUUUUUCCUUUUGAUAGUGGGUUAAUUGGACUUCAUCAAAGAAAAUGGUAUCUGCAAAACUGCUUUGCAUGUUAUAAAAAUGCUUAUUUCACAACUUGCUUUUCACAUAACCUCUUACCAUUAAUUUGCCUAACAGACAUUGAUCGCCCUAAAGGACUGGCAUUCACUGAUGUGGAUGUCGAUUCCAUCAAAAUUGCUUGGGAAAGCCCACAGGGGCAAGUUUCCAGGUACAGGGUGACCUACUCGAGCCCUGAGGAUGGAAUCCAUGAGCUAUUCCCUGCACCUGAUGGUGAAGAAGACACUGCAGAGCUGCAAGGCCUCAGACCGGGUUCUGAGUACACAGUCAGUGUGGUUGCCUUGCACGAUGAUAUGGAGAGCCAGCCCCUGAUUGGAACCCAGUCCACAGGUAUAUGGUUAAUUGCACCACCAGGUGCCCAUGGGAGCAGCGGCUUUAUGCCCUACUGAAUGAAUUAUACUUCACUGGGCUAUUGAUUCCCCUGUAAGGGUGAAAAAAAAUUAUUAGGAAAGAUCCUCUUUAAAGAGGAAUGGUAAGAAACAGUAAAACUUAGGUGAUAUUUAAGGAAACAAGUCUGAUAAAAAGAAAUUUUGGAGUAUCCUGGCUUAUACACAAGACCAUAAAGCAAGACAUUUGAAGAGGAUACUAAAAUUGUGGAUUAUUUCCUAAGCUCUGACUCCCUGUGAUUUACCCUCACUAUGUAUAAAGGAAGGAAGUUUGGCAUCAUAGAGCUUACUUAUAAAAAGGAACCCAAACUUGGGCAUUUCAUAGCAGCAUGAUUCUGAGCACACAUGGGUAAGACCUUUCUUCUCUGGUUAGAUAUCAUAUGCUGAUGUACAAUUAGCUUAAAUGAUUGUGAUUCAGACAUACAGGAAACAACCAAUAGGGCAAUUGCUUUCCAUAAUACUUUAUCUUCUUGUGCUUUAUUUCUGAAGCAGAGUAGAAUGCUAAAGAUGUAUCCUAGUGACAGCAUAAACCCUAGAGGUGACAGUCUGUAUUAUUGCUUUUCGCUUCUCUUUUCUGCUUCUGUUGGGAGCCAGUUUUCUUCUUACGCCGCAUUACAGAGAGAACGUCAAAUUUAGCAGCCAUAUCUGCCAUAGGGUCUAAAUAAAGAGACAAUAAAAACAUUAUUCUCUCUUUUUUGGAUGGAAUACUGUGUAAAAUGGUUAUCCAUACAAAGAUACUUUAUGUAGAAAAAGGAGGCCGGGUGCCGUGGCUCACACAUGUAAUCCUAGUGCUUUGGGAGGCCAAGGUGGGAGCGUUGAUUGAGGCCAGGAGUUCAUGAUCAGCCUGGGCAAUGAAGUGAGACCCCGUCUCUACAAAAAAAUAUGAAAAAAUUAGCGAGGUGUGGUGACACAUGCCUGUAGUCCCAGCUACUCAAGAGGCUGAGGUAGAGGAUCGCUUGAGCCUACGAGUUCAAGGCUGCAGUGAGCUAUGAUAACUCCACUGCACUGCCGCCUGGAUGACAGAGCGAGACCAUUUCUAAAUUAAUUAAUUAAAAAUUUUAAGGCAGAAAAAGGGCCAUUGCUUAUUUUUCCAUACAAAAGUAAAAUAAAUCAUAAUGGCCAAUAAGGCAAUAUAACUUUUUUUUUUUAAGGGAAAGCAAAAAAAACUUCUAAGACCUAAAAUCUCUUAGAGUUUUGGCAUUUACCCAAAUGUUUUCAGUGAUUCUGAGAAUUGGUGGAUAUAAAACACAUUUCUCAGCAAACACUUUCUUCAUUUUGCAUCCCUUAUUGUACUUUCUUGUACUGAAUCUUUGCUUGACCAGGGAACCCACCUAACCCAACAAGAACAAUCCAUUCUACUUCUUGGAACUCACUUUAUUUUCCUUUUUCCCCAUUUCCUAUAAGAUAACCUCUAACCAAUGACAAUCCCAACAGCUAUUCCUGCACCAACUGACCUGAAGUUCACUCAAGUCACACCCACGAGCCUGAGCGCCCAGUGGACACCACCCAAUGUUCAGCUCACUGGAUAUAGAGUGCGGGUGACCCCCAAGGAGAAGACCGGACCAAUGAAAGAAAUCAACCUUGCUCCUGACAGCUCAUCCGUGGUUGUAUCAGGACUUAUGGUGGCCACCAAAUAUGAAGUGAGUGUCUAUGCUCUUAAGGACACUUUGACAAGCAGACCAGCUCAGGGAGUUGUCACCACUCUGGAGAAUGUCAGCCCACCAAGAAGGGCUCGUGUGACAGAUGCUACUGAGACCACCAUCACCAUUAGCUGGAGAACCAAGACCGAGACGAUCACUGGCUUCCAAGUUGAUGCUGUUCCAUCCAAUGGCCAGACUCCUAUCCAGAGAACCAUCAAGCCAGAUGUCAGAAGCUACACCAUCACAGGUUUACAACCAGGCACUGACUACAAGAUCUACCUGUACACCUUGAACGACAAUGCCCGGAGCUCCCCUGUGGUCAUCGACGCCUCCACUGCCAUUGAUGCGCCAUCCAACCUGCGUUUCCUGGCCACCACACCCAAUUCCUUGCUGGUAUCAUGGCAGCCGCCACGUGCCAGGAUUACCGGCUACAUCAUCAAGUAUGAGAAGCCUGGGUCUUCUCCCAGAGAAGUGGUCCCUCGGCCCCGCCCUGGUGUCACAGAGGCUACUAUUACUGGCCUGGAACCGGGAACCGAAUAUACAAUUUAUGUCAUUGCCCUGAAGAAUAAUCAGAAGAGCGAGCCCCUGAUUGGAAGGAAAAAGACAGACGAGCUUCCCCAACUGGUAACCCUUCCACACCCCAAUCUUCAUGGACCAGAGAUCUUGGAUGUUCCUUCCACAGUUCAAAAGACCCCUUUCGUCACCCACCCUGGGUAUGACACUGGAAAUGGUAUUCAGCUUCCUGGCACUUCUGGUCAGCAACCCAGUGUUGGGCAACAAAUGAUCUUUGAGGAACAUGGUUUUAGGCGGACCACACCGCCCACAACGGCCACCCCCAUAAGGCAUAGGCCAAGACCAUACCCGCCGAAUGUAGGACAAGAAGCUCUCUCUCAGACAACCAUCUCAUGGGCCCCAUUCCAGGACACUUCUGAGUACAUCAUUUCAUGUCAUCCUGUUGGCACCGAUGAAGAACCCUUACAGUUCAGGGUUCCUGGAACUUCUACCAGUGCCACUCUGACAGGCCUCACCAGAGGUGCCACCUACAACAUCAUAGUGGAGGCACUGAAAGACCAGCAGAGGCAUAAGGUUCGGGAAGAGGUUGUUACCGUGGGCAACUCUGUCAACGAAGGCUUGAACCAACCUACGGAUGACUCGUGCUUUGACCCCUACACAGUUUCCCAUUAUGCCGUUGGAGAUGAGUGGGAACGAAUGUCUGAAUCAGGCUUUAAACUGUUGUGCCAGUGCUUAGGCUUUGGAAGUGGUCAUUUCAGAUGUGAUUCAUCUAGAUGGUGCCAUGACAAUGGUGUGAACUACAAGAUUGGAGAGAAGUGGGACCGUCAGGGAGAAAAUGGCCAGAUGAUGAGCUGCACGUGUCUUGGGAACGGAAAAGGAGAAUUCAAGUGUGACCCUCAUGAGGCAACGUGUUAUGAUGAUGGGAAGACGUACCACGUAGGAGAACAGUGGCAGAAGGAAUAUCUCGGUGCCAUUUGCUCCUGCACAUGCUUUGGAGGCCAGCGGGGCUGGCGCUGUGACAACUGCCGCAGACCUGGCGGUGAACCCAGUCCCGAAGGCACUACUGGCCAGUCCUACAACCAGUAUUCUCAGAGAUACCAUCAGAGAACAAACACUAAUGUUAAUUGCCCAAUUGAAUGCUUCAUGCCUUUAGAUGUACAGGCUGACAGAGAAGAUUCCCGAGAGUAAAUCUUUCCAAUCCAGAGGAACAAGCAUGUCUCUCUGCCAAGAUCCAUCUAAACUGGAGUGAUGUUAGCAGACCCAUCUUAGAGUUCUUGUUUCUUUCUUAAGCCCUUUGCUCUGGAGGAAGUUCUCCAGCUUCAGCUCAACUCACAGCUUCUCCAAGCAUCACCCUGGGAGUGUCCUGAGAGUUUUCUCAUAAAUGAGGGCUGCACAUUGCCUGUUCUGCUUCAAAGUAUUCAAUACCGCUCAGUAUUUUAAAUGAAGUGAUUCUAACUUGUGAUUUGGUUUGGGAUCAAUAGGAAAGCAUAUGCAGCCAACAAAGAUGCAAAUGUUUUGAAAUGAUAUGACCAAAAUUUUAAGUAGGAAAGUCACCCAAACACUUCUGCUUUCACUUAAGUGUCUGGCCCGCAAUACUGUAGGAACAAGCAUGAUCUUGUUACUGUGAUAUUUUAAAUAUCCACAGUACUCACUUUUUCCAAAUGAUUCUAGUAAUUGCCUAGAAAUAUCUUUCUCUUACCUGUUAUUUAUCAAUUUUUCCCAGUAUUUUUCUACGGAAAAAAUUGUAUUGAAAACACUUAGUAUGCAGUUGAUAAGAGGAAUUUGGUAUAAUUAUGGUGGGUGAUUAUUUUUUAUACUGUAUGUGCCAAAGCUUUACUACUGUGGAACGACAACUGUUUUAAUAAAAGAUUUACAUUCCACAA